rnacentral:lncRNA from 1 species
AGGAUGGGGUGCCACACAAGGAAGGCUGGGCUUAGCAGAGGAUCCCGUGCGGGCAGCAGCCAGGAAGCAGAGAGCAGAGUCAGCGAGGCGCACAUGUGUCCACGUGCUGAAAAAGCGAGGUCAGGCGCAGGUGUCAACAAGACCAAGCACUCCUAGAGAAUGUGAUGAGGGAUAGGAACGUCAGGUAGGCUGGCAAGAACAGGAAGCUCUCGUGAGAGGAGCCUGGCUGGGUACCAAGAACCAGCUGAGACACUAAAGAGCAUUUUGCUUGCAUAACUCUGUGCACUAUGUGCCUUCCUGCUCUCUGUGGAAGCCAGAAGAGGAUAUUGGAACCACUUGAACUGGAGUUUCAGCAUAAGACUGAAAUCCUGUAACUUCCAGGGAGAAAAUAGUGAGUGCACUUCAAGAUACGGGCACAGGAUGUUCUCAAGUGGCUUGUGAUCACUCAGGAAAGAAGGCUGGUAAACAACAAAUGGGAUCUUAUGAAGUUUAAAAUUUAAAACGCUGUACAGCAAGGAAACAGUCAAUUGAAUGAAAAGGUAGCCUGCAGAAUGGGAGAGAGCUCUUUGCCAGCUGUACAUCUGACAGAGGACGAGUACCUAGAAUAUACAAAGAACUUAAGAAACAAAAUAUCAACAAAACAAACAACUCAAACAUGUGCAUGCUUGCAUACGUGUGCACACUUACACACACACACACACACACAUACACACACACACACACACACACAGUGGAUCUAAACAGAGUUCUCAAAACAGAAAAUGCAAAUGGCUAAUGAAUAUUUUAUAAGCUAGCCACAAGGGAGAAGCAAAUGAAAACUACUUUGAGACUCCAUCUCUCUCCAUUCAGGGAAGCCCUUGAGGGUCCCCAAAUAGUACAGGCUGUUUUCCGCCAUAUAGAGAUGGUAAGACCUUAUUGCUGAAGACCUCACAUAUUUUGGUUGAUUUUUGACAUGACUGGGAGACUUCAUUCCUGGCUCCUAGUUUUCAUAGUUCUCUGCAGGCUGCUGGGAAAGGAAACACAUCAGCGAACUUACCCAGCACCGUUCUUACCGAUGCCAAGACUGCACAGAGUGCAGUCGUGGCAUCCCAGUCUGGGUGGUAACCAACCAGUUCUGAUUGGACUUGAAACCUGAGUCACAGGACACAAUUCAUGCCUGGUAGUGGAAACUUGGUCAAAAGACCGUGAGUCAUAAACCCUGGUGGGGGGACUUAUAUUGUUCUGUUAAAUGAUAUUGUUAUAAAACUGCUGUCUUAAGUAUUUACAUUUAUACCCAGAGAAUUGUGUUGCUCUCAGAGAAUCUUUCUUUUGUGGUAUAGAGUGCUCAGUGUGGAUAAUCAUAACUGGGGCUGAUUCAGCAUUAAAGUGCUGAAAAUAAGUGUCCCUAAGUAGGACAUCUUUAUCACCCCCCACCCCCACCCCAGUCCACCAAGGUUCAUGGGGCAUGCAGAAGAAGGGGCACACAAAAAUAUAAGGCCUGGAAGACAGGGAGGGAUACAGUGACAUAUCUUCUGCACCCAAGUACUCACAGAAGCUUUGAUUACUCAUUCAAGACCUGUCUUCACAAGAUGAGACCUGCAGAAAUUCCAAACCAGAGAGGGGAGACUCACUGGGCCCCAGUCCUAGCUGAAGAGAUAUUGGUAGUUAAUGGCUUCUUCUGGGGGAGAGAGUGAAUUCCUUUGAGUGGCUACUGGUAGGUUGCUCAUGAUACAGUAGAUGGCUCCACACCUGUUACAUAUGAGCAUCACUAAUUGGACUCAAUGGCUUAUGGAAGGGGAAGAGGAGAGGAGGAGGAGGAGGAGGAGAGGAGGAGGAGGAGGAGAGAGUCAUGAAGUCAGGAGGAAGAUGUGUUGGGGCUAAGAGGAGUUUGAAUGGGGAAGUCAGGGAUAAAUAUGAUCAAUAUAUAUUAUGUACAUAUAUGAAAUUCUCAAAAAUAAGUAUAUAUAUGUAUACACACACACAUACACACACACACUAGUUUAGGGUGUCAACUUGACACAAGCGUAGUUAUCACAGAGAAAGGAGCCUCCCUUGAGGAAAUGCCUCCAUGAGAGCCAGCUGUGGGACAUUUUCUCAAUUAGUGAUCAAGAGUGGGAAGGCCCAUUGUGGGUGGUGCCAUCCCUAGGCUGGGAGUCUUCGGUUCUAUAAGAAAGCAGGUUGAGCAAGCCAGGGGAAGCAAACAAGAAGAUUAUUCUAUGGCCUCUGCACCUGCUCCUGCCUCCAAGUUCCUGACCUGCUUGAGUUCCUGUCCUGACUUCCUUUGGUGAUGAACAGCAAUGUUUAAGCAUAAGCUGAAUAAACCCUUUCCUCCCUGACUUGCUUCUUGGUCAUGAUGUUUUGUUCAGGAAUAGAAACCCUGACUAAGACAACAUAUAGACCAUUCCCUCACAUAAAACAAAUACAGUGAGUU